GGGAGUUGAAAUUUCUUGAGUUUUCAAAUAUUUAAUUAUACUGAAUGUUUACCUCACCUGUGAUCAUCUGUUCACUGGCCAAAAA